UUUCGCAAUGCCCGAAAGGGUGACGAAGCGACGCCGCGUGCGGGAAGAAGGCCUUCGGGUUGUAAACCGCUGUCGGGAGUUAAGAAAUGUAAGGAUGUUAAUAGCAUCUUUGCUUGACUAAGGCUCCGGAGGAAGCCACGGCUAACUCUGUGCCAGCAGCCGCGGUAAUACAGAGGCGGCAAGCGUUGUUCGGAAUUAUUGGGCGUAAAGAGCACGUAGGCGGCCUUGUAAGUCAGUUGUGAAAGCCUUCUGCUUAACGGAAGAACAGCAUCUGAUACUGCAAGGCUAGAGUGCGGAAGGGGAGAGUGGAACUUCUGGUGGAGCGGUGAAAUGCGUAGAUAUCAGAAGGAACGCCGGCGGCGAAAGCGGCUCUCUGGCCCAUAACUGACGCUGAGUGUGCGAAAGCUAGGGGAGCAAACGGGAUUAGAUACCCCGGUAGUCCUAGCCGUAAACGAUGGGCACUAAGUAGAGGGGUUUU
rnacentral:rRNA from 1 species